rnacentral:rRNA from 1 species
AUUGAACGCUGGCGGCAUGCUUUACACAUGCAAGUCGAACGGUAACAGGCCGCAAGGUGCUGACGAGUGGCGAACGGGUGAGUAAUGCAUCGGAACGUGCCCAGUCGUGGGGGAUAACGCAGCGAAAGCUCCGCUAAUACCGCAUACGAUCUAUGGAUGAAAGCGGGGGACCGUAAGGCCUCGCGCCAUUGGACCGGCCCAAGUCAGAUUAGGUAGUUGGGGGGGUAAAGGCUCACCAAGCCAACGAUCUGUGGCUGGUCGUAGAGGACGACCAGCCACACUGGGACUGAGACACGGCCCAGGCUCCUACGGGAGGCAGCAGUGGGGAAUUUUGGACAAUGGGCGCAAGCCUGAUCCAGCAAUGCCGCGUGCAGGAAGAAGGCCUUCGGGUUGUAAACUGCUUUUGUACGGAACGAAACGGUCCUGGUUAAUACCCGGGGCUAAUGACGGUACCGUAAGAAUAAGCACCGGCUAACUACGUGCCAGCAGCCGCCGCCGUAA